rnacentral:rRNA from 1 species
GACGAACGCUGGCGGCGUGCCUAAUACAUGCAAGUUGAGCGCUGAAGGUUGGUACUUGUACCAACUGGAUGAGCAGCGAACGGGUGAGUAACGCGUGGGGAGUCUGCCUUUGAGCGGGGGACAACAUUUGGAAACGAAUGCUAAUACCGCAUAAAAACUUUAAACACAAGUUUUAAGUUUGAAAGAUGCAAUUGCAUCACUCAAAGAUGAUCCCGCGUUGUAUUAGCUAGUUGGUGAGGUAAAGGCUCACCAAGGCGAUGAUACAUAGCCGACCUGAGAGGGUGAUCGGCCACAUUGGGACUGAGACACGGCCAAAACGCCUACGGGAGGCAGCAGUAGGGAAUCUUCGGCAAUGGACGAAAGUCUGACCGAGAAACGCCGCGUGAGUGAAGAAGGGUUUCGGAUCGUAAAACUCUGUUGGUAGAGAAGAACGUUGGUGAGAGUGGAAAGCUCAUAAAGUGACGGUAACUACACAGAAAGGGACGGCUAACUACGUG